GUGAACAACUAAGGGCGCGCGGUGGAUGCCUAGGCUCUCGGAGGCGAUGAAGGACGCGAUAAGCCGCGAUAGGCCACGGCGAGGUGCAAGUAACCCUUGACCCGUGGAUUUCCGAAUGGGGCAACCCGGCCGUCUAGAUGACGGUCAUGCAUUAAUGCAGGCGAACGCGGGGAACUGAAACAUCUCAUUACCCGCAGGAGAAGAAAACAAAAUGUGAUUCCCCCAGUAGUGGCGAGCGAACGGGGAAGAGCCCAAACCGCUGCCGUUUCGGCGACAGCGGGGUCAUGGGACCGCGACAUUCGACGGAAGACGAAGUGCAAUUACCUGGAAAGGUAAGCCGUGGAGGGUGACAGCCCCGUGCACGACACCUCUUUCAAAGAUAGCGGGAUCCCGAGUAGGGCGGGACACGAGAAAUCCUGCCUGAAUUCGCCAGGACCUCCUGGCAAGGCUAAAUACUCCCGAGAGACCGAUAGUGAACCAGUACCGCGAGGGAAAGGUGAAAAGUACCCCGAGCAGGGGGGUGAAAUAGACCCUGAACCCGCGCGCCUACAAGCGGUCGGAGCCAUGAAAUAUGGUGACGGCGUGCCUUUUGCAUAAUGAGCCUACGAGUUAGUCGUCACCAGCGAGGUUAAGGGCUUCAGGCCCGUUAGCCGAAGUGAAAGCGAGCCUUAACAGGGCGUUAAGUUGGUGGCGCUAGACGCGAAACCUUGUGAUCUACCCACGAGCAGGUUGAAGUCGCGGUAACACGUGAUGGAGGACCGAACCGGUAAACGUUGAAAAGUUUUCGGAUGACUCGCGGGUAGGGGUGAAAGGCCAAUCAAACUGGGAAAUAGCUCGUACUCUCCGAAAUGCAUUUCGGUGCAGCCUGUGAUGUUCUGUUCCAGAGGUAGAGCUACUGGUUGGACGCGAGGGCUUCACCGCCUAUCAAAUCCGGAUAAACUCCGAAUGCUGGAACACGAAAUCAUGGAGUGAGCCCGCGGGUGCUAAGGUCCGCGGACGAGAGGGAAAGAACCCGGACCACCGGCUAAGGUCCCGGAUGGACAGUUAAGUUGAUCAAACGAGGUGGGAUCGCGGAGACAGCUAGGAUGUUGGCUUGGAAGCAGCCAUUCAUUUAAAGAGUGCGUAACAGCUCACUAGUCGAGCGAUCCCGCGUGGAUAAUACACGGGCAUCAAACUGUCAACCGAAGCCGUGGGGUCAGUGAAGAACUGACCGGUAGGAGAGCAUUCCUGCCAGCUUUGAAGGUCACCCGCGAGAGUGACUGGAGCGGCAUGAAAAGCAAAUGUAGGCAUAAGUAACGAUAAUGGGGGCGAGAACCCCCCACGCCGCAAGACCAAGGAUUCCCCGGCAAUGUCAAUCAGCCGGGGGUCAGCCGGCCUCUAAGGCUCACCCGAAAGGGGAUGCCGACGAGAAACGGGUUAACAUUCCCGUGCUUCUCGUCACCGUGACGCGGUGACGGGGUGAUGAAUGGACCGCGCGCUGACGGAAUAGCGCGUUGAAGGCCGUACCCUAUGACGGUGGUAGUCAAGCACGCCACCGGAGGCGAGAGCCGAUAGUACCUCGAGACUUCGGUCGAGGGGAUAGCGUCCAGGCAAUUUACCCCCUAGAAAACCCGCUAAACUUCAAGUGACGAGGAACCGUACUGUAAACGGACACACGUGGUCGGGUAGAACAUACCAAGGCGCUCGAGUGAUUCAUGGUCAAGGAACUAGGCAAAAUAGUCCUGUAACCUCGGGAAAAAGGACGCUCUAGUGAUAGAGCCGCAGAGUAAUGGCCCAGGCGACUGUUUACCAAAAACACAUGGCUAUGCCAAAUCGAAAGAUGACGUAUAUGGCCUGACACCUGCCCGGUGCCGGAAGGUUAAGAGGAGAGCUCAUCGGAAACGAGAAGGUUUGAAUUGAAGCCCCGGUAAACGGCGGCCGUAACUAUAACGGUCCUAAGGUAGCGAAAUUCCUUGUCGGGUAAGUUC
rnacentral:rRNA from 1 species